rnacentral:rRNA from 1 species
UACAGAGGGGGCAAGCGUUGUUCGGAAUUACUGGGCGUAAAGGGCGCGUAGGCGGCCUUCUAAGUCGAACGUGAAAUCCCCGGGCUCAACCCGGGAACUGCGUCCGAUACUGGAAGGCUUGAAUCCGGGAGAGGGAUGUGGAAUUCCAGGUGUAGCGGUGAAAUGCGCAGAUAUCAAGGAAGAACACCAAUGGCGAAAGCAGCUUUCUGGGACGGUACUGACGCUGAGACGCGAAAGCGUGGGGAGCGAACAGG